rnacentral:rRNA from 1 species
UACGUAGGGCGCAAGCGUUGUCCGGAAUUAUUGGGCGUAAAGAGCUCGUAGGCGGCCUGUUGCGUCCGCUGUGAAAUCCCGGGGCUUAACCCCGGGCUUGCAGUGGAUACGGGCAGGCUGGAGGCAGGCAGGGGGAGAACGGAAUUCCCGGUGUAGCGGUGAAAUGCGCAGAUAUCGGGGAGGAACACCGGUGGCGAAGGCGGUUCUCUGGGCCUGUACUGACGCUGAGGAGCGAAAGCGUGGGGAGCGAACAGG